rnacentral:rRNA from 1 species
UACAGAGGGUGCAAGCGUUAAUCGGAAUUACUGGGCGUAAAGCGAGCGUAGUCGGUUAUUUAAGUCGGGUGUGAAAGCCCCGGGCUCAACCUGGGAAUUGCAUUCGAGACUGCGUAGCUAGGGUGCGGAAGAGGGAAGCGGAAUUUCCGGUGUAGCGGUGAAAUGCGUAGAUAUCGGAAGGAACACCAGUGGCGAAGGCGGCUCACUGGCCCGGUACUGACGCUGAGGUGCGAAAGCGUGGGGAGCA